rnacentral:rRNA from 1 species
CGGACGGGUGAGUAAUGUCUGGGAAACUGCCUGAUGGAGGGGGAUAACUACUGGAAACGGUAGCUAAUACCGCAUAAUGUCGCAAGACCAAAGAGGGGGACCUUCGGGCCUCUUGCCAUCGGAUGUGCCCAGAUGGGAUUAGCUUGUUGGUGGGGGUAACGGCUCACCAAGGCGACGAUCCCUAGCUGGUCUGAGAGGAUGACCAGCCACACUGGAACUGAGACACGGUCCAGACUCCUACGGGAGGCAGCAUG